rfam:Stomoxys calcitrans breed 8C7A2A5H3J4 unplaced genomic scaffold Scaffold768, whole genome shotgun sequence.
UUUUAAAUGAUGAUAAUUCUACUCAGAAUAAACUCAUUGAUGAGCACACACUCAAUUUAAACCAAAAGGAUUCUGAUAUCAA